rnacentral:lncRNA from 1 species
UAAUAUGAUGACAUCACUGUCUUCAACAACCUGAUUUUGAGACACACAAGGUAAAUGAAAUGACAUCAAUCCUUAUAUAUGACAAGGUAAUUGUGACACCCCAAGCCCUAGACCAAAGUUUCACUGAACAUAAGAAGUGUUACACCAAAAAGAAAUAAUAACAUGAUUUUAAGAGAAACUUAGUAUUCAAUAACUAUUCAUUUUAAGAGAACUUAAUAUUUAGAAGGAAAAAAAAUCUUAUAUUUAACGACUUUGAUUUCAAGAUAAACAUUUUUAACAAUAAUUAUCAAAAAUCCAAAGAAAUUCAUAAAAGAGAAAUUUUCUUAAAUAUUUUUCUUGAGUUCCACCACCAAAAACCAAUUGCAAUCAUCCGUGUCCUUGAACAAUUAAUUUCCUAUAGGGGAAAGAGAGGAGUCAGAUAAAAUCUCAAUAAACAAGUAGCAAGUAGAGUACAU